GCGCUAGGACCUGGAGGGCUAGUCGGCGGGCUGCGCGUCCGGCCGCUAGCUGAGCUGGAGGCCACCGGCCAGAGCCGACCCCAGGAGUGAGAGAGACAGGGGCGUGCGUGAGUUCCGGCGGCCUGCACCGGGCAAACCCCGUACCUUCCCAGCAUCGGCUCAGCAACCCACGUGCAUCCAGGCCGGUCAAUGUCAUUGAGUCACCUCCGCGCCUUGGCCACCCUGGAGUCCCGAGAAUCCGAAGUUCCAGACAAAUGCCCAAACUACAUUCCUGCAUGUUCGAAAGCGUAAAUUGCAAAGCACAAAUCCAGUUGUAGAUUGUGGCCGGGAGCAGUGGCUCACGCCUAUAAUCCCAGCACUUUGGGAGGCCGAGGCGGACAGAUCACGAGGUCAGCACUUCGAGACCAGCAUGGCCAACAUGGUGAAGCCCCAUCUCUACUAAAAAUACAAACAUUAGCCAGGCAUGGUGGUAGGCCCCUGUAAUCCCAGCUACUCGGUAGGCUGAGGCAGGAGAAUCACUUGAACCCGGGAGGCAGAGGUUUCAGUGAGCUGAGACUGCACCAUUGCACUCCAGCCUGGGCGACAGACCAAGACUCCAUCUCAAAAAAAAAAAAAAAAAAGUUAUAGAUUGUAAGGAAAAUACCCCCAAGGAAGUUGAGGACACAGCAGACUUGGACUGUCUCCAAACCUGUUCAUUCUUCUGAGUGCACUGCUCGGAGCAUCCUAUUGGGCAGCAUAUCCUGGCCUCCUUUCCAGUUCGAUGUGGUACUAUACCUGAUUUCUGGCCAAUAAAAUAUGAGAGGACAUGAAAUUCAACAGCCCCUGGGCUUGGCUUAUAAAACCUUCCAUGCAAUCCUCCACACCUUUUCACCUCUCAGCUGCUGAGACUUUUCUAGGCACUACACAGAAGCAGCCUGGGUCUCCAGUAGCAAAGGAGAGCAGAUCCUUCUCACUAUCCUGCACCGAACUGUGACAUGAGCAAAAAAUAAAGUUUUUAUUUUCUUACAC